UGAAACCACUGAGUGAAACUUCUGCACAUCAAGCGGUGGCUCCACACUCAGAGGAUGCAGAGUGUGAGGAGAAAUAAAUGCACUGACGUCACAUGUCCUCAGGGCAGCGAGGGUGGAGUGAGGUGGGACGGUUUGCACCAGUCAGUGACUCAGGCUUUCAUCUGUCUCCUCCCCUUCCCGGAGACACACUGUGUCCCCCAUUAACCAACGGGUGACUCCAGCCUCCGCCAUUCAGUGAAUGACCACACAGGUACACAGGUGUAUCUUCCGUUUAGAAUAAGGUUUGAUCCCAGAGCCGAGUCAUGCAUACCUGCUCUCCUCCAUCACCUCCAUCCAGUGCAUGCAGGUGACAGCGUUCUGCAUUGGAAACACGUGAAGGAUCUCUGCUUUCUCAACACCACACAGGACCACCUGCUUAGUGUCUCUGAGGUUGAAGGCCAAUACUGGAGAUUAAAGACAGAAUAACAGCUUCAUGUUCCCAUCAACAUGCAGACGACUAACAACAGAAAGAUGUACACAUGUCAUUC